ensembl:lncRNA
AGUCUAUCACCUCAAGCAAUGGUUUCUUAUAAGUGUGAGAAAUCAUUUGGAACAAAUCGAAUUUUUAAAUACAGCAAAUAGGAAAUAUUUACAGGAAAAUGUUUUGCCUUUGACAGGUCAGAAAAAGAAAAAAACAUCAGUCUUCCUACAGCUCUCUGUCUAACAUACUGAAACAACUGUAGUGUUCAACAGUGGAGAUGGAUCUUAUGGUGGAUCUGAAGUCCUUUGGGGAUCCCAUCAAGCAGUUCAGUGACUACGUGUCGGGGACAGUGGCCAAACCGGAUAACAAACGAGAAGCCAAAAAGAGUACAGGAACCCGAAGGAAGAGUAUAGUCAUUAGCACGGGGGCCCGACGAAAGAGCGUAGUUUUGAGCACAGGGGCCCCCAAGAAGAGCAUAGUUGCCAGCACGGGGGCCCGACGGAAGAGC